AGACGCUCAAAACCAGGCUUAGUCCUCCUAUGAAAAAAAUAGCAGUACAGGUCUCAGCUGUGUCCUUGCUGAAUGGUUUUGAAGGGACAGCACUGUGACACGUGCAUGAAGGGACUGGCUUAUUUGCUGGGACAGGAUAACAGCUCCUGUUAGAUGCUCUCACUGUCAGCUAAGGCUCUGAAACUGAGGUAAGAGCUGACACACCACCUAUCCCGGCCUCACUGGACGCCCCUUCAGAAGUAUCUGCUU
rnacentral:lncRNA from 1 species